UACGUAGGGUGCAGGCGUUAAUCGGAAUUACUGGGCGUAAAGCGUGCGCAGGCGGUCUGCUAAGAGAGGUGUGAAAUCCCCGGGCUUAACCUGGGAACUGCGCUUCUAACUGGCAGGCUUGAGUGUGGCAGAGGGGGGUGGAAUUCCAGGUGUAGCGGUGAAAUGCGUAGAUAUCUGGAGGAACACCGGUGGCGAAGGCGGCAUCCUGGACCGGUAUUGACGCUGAGGAGCGAAAGCCAGGGGAGCAAACGGG
rnacentral:rRNA from 1 species